GGACCAUAGCACAGUGGUUAGCACUCCUGCCUGCCAAGCCAGCGACCCGGGUUCAAUUCCCGAGUCGGUUCU
rnacentral:tRNA from 1 species